rnacentral:rRNA from 1 species
GAGUAACGCGUGGGUAACCUGCCUAUAAGACGUGAACAACAGUUAGAAAUGACUGCUAAUACACGAUAAGCACACCAGUAUCGCAUGAUACAGUGUGAAAAGAAUUUCGCUUAUAGAUGGACCCGCGUUUGAUUAGCCAGUUGUGGGGUAACGGCCUACCAAAGCAACGAUCAAUAGCCGGCCUGAGAGGGCGACCGGCCACAUUGGGACUGAGACACGGCCCAAACUCCUACGGGAGGCAGCAGUGGGGAAUAUUGGACAAUGGGGGCAACCCUGAUCCAAGCAACGCCGCGUGAGUGAUGAAGUAUCUUGGUAUGUAAAGCUCUAUCAGUAGGAACGAAAAUGACGGUACCUAACUAAGAAGCCCCGGCUAACUACGUGCCAGCAGCAGC